rnacentral:rRNA from 1 species
ACAACUGGGAUUACCUUAGUAACGGCGAGUGAAGCGGUAAAAGCUCAAAUUUGAAAUCUGGUACUUUCAGUGCCCGAGUUGUAAUUUGUAGAAUUUGUCUUUGAUUAGGUCCUUGUCUAUGUUCCUUGGAACAGGACGUCAUAGAGGGUGAGAAUCCCGUUUGGCGAGGAUACCUUUUCUCUGUAAGACUUUUUCGAAGAGUCGAGUUGUUUGGGAAUGCAGCUCAAAGUGGGUGGUAAAUUCCAUCUAAAGCUAAAUAUUGGCGAGAGACCGAUAGCGAACAAGUACAGUGAUGGAAAGAUGAAAAGAACUUUGAAAAGAGAGUGAAAAAGUACGUGAAAUUGUUGAAAGGGAAGGGCAUUUGAUCAGACAUGGUGUUUUUUAAAUGUGCAAGUCUCUCGUGGACAUGUGCCUCUGGAAAUUAACACUGGGCCAACAUCAGUUCUGGCGGCAGGAUAAAUCAUUAAGAAUGUAGCUACCUCGGUAGUGUUAUAGCUUUUUGGAAUACUGCC